UCCGUCGAAUGACGGCAGUCUCGUCUGAAAAAUACAACAGACGAUGAGGGUUUCGCUCGUUUACCCACUUAAGGGCACAGCUCACGCCACGAGCUGACGACAGCCGUGCAACACCUGUCUUGCCGUUCCCUUGCGGGCACGGUCCCGUUUCUGGGACUUUCGGCAGAUGUCAAACCCUGGUAAGGUUCUCCGGUUAGCGUCGAAUUAAACCACAUGCUCCACCGCUUGUGCGAUCCCCCGCCAAUUCCUUUAUGUUUUAGCCUUGCGGCCGUACUUCACAGGCGGCACACUUAACGCGUUAGCUACGCUACAAGAAGGGUCGAUACUUCUGAUAGCUAGUGUGCAUCGUUUACGGCGUGGACUAC
rnacentral:misc_RNA from 1 species